UGGGGCUGCGGUAGAUUUUCUUUCUUUCUUUUUUUUUAAAGAUUUAUUUAUUUCAUGUAUAUAAGUACACUUUGCUGUCCUCAGACACACCAGAAGAGAGCAUCAGAUCCCAUUACAGAUGGUUGUGAGCCACCAUGUGGCUGCUGGGAUUUGAACUCAGGACCUCUGGAAGAGCAGUCAGUGCUCUUAACCUCCAAGCCAUCUCUCCGGCCCGGGGUGGAUUUUCUUGUUUUUGCUUUUCAAAAGCCACAAAACUAGUGGCCUGACCUGUGAGAGUCCAGGCUGCAAAGCCAAUGCUGCUCCUAAAUCAAGUUGCCCGGCAUCUUGGAAAUGUACUCACAGCCCUAAGACAGCAUCUGGGUGAAACUCAGCCUCACUCCAGGUUUCAGCAUAGCAUCAGCUCUUGUCUUCAGACAGAUAAUAAAUAAGAUAAUAAAUACAGCGUGAUAUGUUAGUUCAUGCCACAGUUCUGCCAGGGCAGGAUGGGUAGUAAUGAAGACAACACUGUUUAACAAGGAGGUCCACACUUAGAAUCCUAAUAAGGGCCCAGCGAGAGGGCUCAGUGAGAAAGGGUGCCUGCUGCCAAGCCUGAUGACCUGAGUUUGAUUCCCGGGACCCACGUGGUGGGAAGAGAGAAUGGACUCCUGCAAAUUGUCCUGAUAUCCACACAUAUGCUGUGGCACACACACAGACGUAUACACACACACACACACACACA